ensembl:lncRNA
UGCAGCUAAUGAAUUGGAACGAAGUGCAUUUUUUACUGGGUGGCCGGGGAGGACUUAGGGCUUUCCUUUCUUCUUCUUCCACGGCCUUCAACGCCAAAGGCACUUGCUUUCAGAAGCCACUGUGUUCAGUUCAGGGACCUGAGCAGUGGCACUGUACCUUAGGCGCUUGUUUACAAAGCAGGCCCCUCACUGAGCCAAAACCAUCCAAAUCCCCCACAUAUCUAGGUGAGAAAUAUUCUGAUUGGCUGCUGCCAAAUGUAACCUAAUUUUCACGUAGGCAAAUGGACAGCAGCUCUCCAAUAACAAGGUCAAACCAACAAAACAAUGGAGUUUGAGGGGGAGGGGCCCUACUGAAGAGCACGAGACAGAAUGACAGAUGGUAGCAAUACUCUGUAGUGUAACUACCUCAAUGUACAAAACAACAACACGUCCAUCAUGUCAGUAGGCUUCAAAGUAUGGCAGUUCAGUUGUAGACAUCUCAAUGCAGUGAGUUGGGAGGAGGGGGGGUACACCUACAUCACCAAGUAGCGUUACAUAAGGCUGAAGUCCCUAUGCACAUCCAUUGAACAAAACGUACACAGCGUUCGUACUGGACGGGCUGCUAACAUACCAGCGUAAACAAGGCUGCUACAGGUAGGCUGAAGUCCGAAGAGAGAGAGAGACAAGAGGGUCGAAGUCCGGUAACAUUAAUGUGUAAACCAUAACAGCAAGGUCACGGGGAAAGCGUAACGCUAAUACUUUCGGUCUGGAAUGUGACUGUUUUUGAUAAACAAACUAGCUGUGCUGGUACUGUAGGUCUAGUGUAGAACAGUCCCAACUCUUUCAAACUCAAGGCAGGAGGCAUAAAAUGAGUACGGACACCUAGCUAAAUAGAUCAAUCAAUUGGCAGUUAUCGAAAAGGUUUUAAGUUAAUUAAGUUACUGCCAAAUGCACUCCUUUCUAGAGCUGUGAACCAAAUGGACAUAUAACAUGACAUAUGCCUGGUAGAAAGUUAGUACAAUAAAAAGAUUAUACAUUAAUGCAAAUAGAUCAAUUGUUAGCUAACGUUACCUUUGCAAAGCAGACGAAAUUCCUUUGUGGAUGUCCACUUUUCUAUUUAUGUUGCCGAGCUUUCUUCAACUUAACUUCUAAGCCAGUUCGUUCAACUAAUACAACGGUACAAUUGUCUGAAUAAUCCAAGCCAUUCAAAACAUUAAAUCCAAUGAAAAUGUUGAAAACCAUCCAGACUUGAAAAGGUCCCCGACGGCGAACAAAAAAAAAGAUAAACUCUAAAAGGCCGCACCGCCAGACCCACAUCAGAGGGCAACAACAGCCAUUUCGCUAAACGGUAGUGACUUUCUGCAUUGCACAAAGAUACAAGUCAAACUGAUUAUUAGUGUUUACACAUAUAAUAAUAAUACAGACACACAAUUAUUAACUCAUCCUAACAUUUUCUAUACUUUGUUCAAGGGGAAGAAAAAAAAAAGUGUAGUUAAAAAGGCAACAGUCCUUACAAAAGGAACAAAAGUGGAAACAGAUGUAGCUAGAUAGCUAGCUACCGUUAGCAACCAACUGUCCAGAGCUACAGCCGGUUACGAUAGCUCAUUAGACUGCAACUCAAACGUCUGUUACUGUCCAAAACAAUACCAGGCAAAGCAUAUAUAUAUAUAUAUAAAAAGUGUUUAUAAUCCAAGUUCAAGGGUCAAAUGAAAAAAAUAAAAAAAAUAAACAAUGAAGACGAGGUUAGAAGAAAACUAAAAUAUCUAAAAACACAUUUUCUCUGGUGUAUUUUGCCAGCUAACGUUAGCUGGCGAAAAGAAAACUAGGAGAUCGCGGAAACUUUAAACUCCUUGGAUUGAGCUCGAAACGCACUUGAUAAAUAUGUAUCCACGGCCAAUUUGUCCAUGGGUUACCAACGUAUCAAAUAAACCAGGUUUCCGUCCGAAUGCAAGUUUUUAAUCCAGUUUUCUUUGGUAGUCCAGCUCGACAGGAGCCGUCCCUCUCCCGGUCGGCUCAGGAGUCACUUCUUGUUGUCUAUCGUUUCCUGCUCUCCUGUGCGUCAAUACGUUGGAAAGCACGUCGGUACGUCGCAGGCUACGGUCGGUGACCAAGGUUGCCGCUCAUUCAGUCUGACGUUAGAUUUACAGUAUAUUAUCUUUGAGUGUGUUUUAGGUCAUUGGGAUUAGCCUAUGUGUGGUGGAAUAAUGGCAGCAUUUUCCCUCUUGACACUUCUUGAUUUUUUUUUACAUUUAUAAUGGAAGAGAUUUAGUUAUCUUUGAAAAAUCACACACACACACACACACACACACACACACACACACAGCACUCCAGAGACACUCCACAGGGUGUCUUAAUUAAAGUAAUUAUGCCCUCCAUGUACACUAUGAGACAGAUAUUGCCCAUUUCAAUGUGAACAAUUUAGAUGUU